GAUGAACGCUGGCGGCGUGCCUAAUACAUGCAAGUCGAGCGAACAGACGAGGAGCUAGUUCCUCUGACGUUAGCGGCGGACGGGUGCGUAACACGUGGAUAACCUACCCAUAAGCCUGGGAUAACUUCGGGAAACCGCAGCUAAUACCGGAUAAUAUAUUGAACCGCAUGGCUCAAUAGUGAAAGAUGGUUUUGCUGUCACUUAUCGAUCGAUCCGCUCGGCAUUAGCUAGUUGGUAAGGUAACAGCUUACCAAGGCAACGAUGCGUAGCCGACCGGAGAGGGAGGAAGGCCACACUGAAACGGAGUCACGGUCCAGACUCCUACGGGAGGGAGCCAGAGGGGAGCAUCCUUGAUGGGCGGAAGCCUGACGGAGCAACGCCGCGUGAGUGAGGAAGGGCGUCGGAUCGGAAAACGAUGUUAUUUGGGAAGAAGAAAAGAAUAAGUAACUAUGCGCGUCUUGACGGUACCUGAUCAGAAAGCCACGGCUAACUACGUG
rnacentral:rRNA from 1 species